ACUCAACUUGUGCUCUUCUUUUCCACUAUUUUUGUGAAAUCAAGAAAUUCAAAGUUCAUUGAAAGAAAGAGAAGAAAUUGCGAGAAUUCUUCGCAUUGAAUAUCAAUUGGCUUUGAAUUUUAAGAGGCAUAUAAUUGGAAGUACAGAAGGUGGAGAGUUAUUACAAGCUUUCCAGUACAUAUUUUAUAUUUAUUUUCUUUAGCAACAGUUUUCUGUUCCCCUACUUUUGUCUUACCAGGGAGACAUGGAAACACGAUGGACCCUCCCUGCUUCUCUCCAAGCAAAUCCUAUGUUCAUAUUGUGGGAAACAUUGCUCUCCUGCUCGAUAAGGACAGCAAUUCUCAAGUCUUGAAGCAGUCAAUAUGGCACGAACCUGCCUGAUAGCUGAUCGAUCAUCGGUUUCAAUGGCUACCGGUGGAGACUUUGCCAAGCCCAAGAAGACAAAGAAAGCACGGUUUCCCCCCAAACGAGGCCAGAUUAAGGCGCGGAUUAUUCAGCAUUUCGUGAAGUUUGUAUGCAAAGCAGUGUCAUCAGCUGUCAAAAGCAUGCAACCCCACAAGAAGAAGAACGGGGAAAGGAAAUGAAUGAUUAGCUUCCAGAAAUCGCCUCGGCUGAAACACAUUGCUGGUAAUAUGCCCUUUGAGACUAUUUUCAUGGCUUCCGAAUUCUUGCAUGACUAGAGAGCGAUGAUAGUGCAGACUAUAAAUAAUUGCAGACAGGACGAGCGUUAUGGCAUCGUCUUGGCUAGUUUUGUUGUUGUACUGUGCAGAAUGUUUAGUUCUUUAAAUGUGUAGUUCUUGUCUGAUUGAUCUCCAUCUGGAUGGUAAUAUUAACAAAAAAUGGUUUGUGAUAACGCCAUUAUUGUUGAAAGAAGAAA